rnacentral:rRNA from 1 species
UCGCCUGUUUAUCAAAAACAUGGUUUCUUGAUUUAUUAUAAGAGAUUUAACCUGCCCACUGAAGAUUUUGAAGGGCCGCAGUAUUUUGACUGUGCAAAGGUAGCAUAAUCAUUAGUCUUUUAAUUGAAGGCUGGAAUGAAUGGUUGGAUGAGGUGAAUACUGUUUUAUAUUGAUUUAUUUUGAAUUUAGAUUUUAAGUAAAAAUACUUAAAUAUUAUUAAGGGACGAGAAGACCCUAUAGAGUUUAAUAAAUUAAGUAUUUAGUUGAGUUAAUAUAGAAGAAAUUUUUAAUUAUUAUGUAAUUUAUUUAAUUGGGGUGAUUAGAAGAUAAAUAGAACUCUUCUUUAAAUUUAAUAUUAUAGUUAGUUGUAAUGAUCCAUUAUUAAUGAUUAAAAGAUUAAAUUACCUUAGGGAUAACAGCAUAAUUCUUUUUGAGAGUUCAUAUCGAAAAAAGAGAUUGUGACCUCGAUGUUGGAUUAAGAUUAGUUUUAGGUGCAGAUGUUUAAUAACUAGGUCUGUUCGACCUUUAAAAUCUUACAUGAUCUGAGUUCAAACCGGAGA